CCGACAUCACGAAAGUAGGAGUUGUUACUAGAAGUACUGCAGGGCUGACCCGCAAGGGGAGCAGCGGCCCAAGGUAUGAUUCAUGAUUGGGGUG
rnacentral:rRNA from 1 species